CCUACGGGAGGCAGCAGUGGGGAAUAUUGGACAAUGGGGGCAACCCUGAUCCAGCCAUGCCGCGUGUGUGAAGAAGGCCCUCGGGUUGUAAAGCACUUUCAGUGAGGAAGAACGCCUGGUGGUUAAUACCCAUCAAGAAAGACAUCACUCACAGAAGAAGCACCGGCUAACUCCGUGCCAGCAGCCGCGGUAAUACGGAGGGUGCGAGCGUUAAUCGGAAUUACUGGGCGUAAAGCGCGCGUAGGUGGCUUGAUAAGCCGGUUGUGAAAGCCCCGGGCUCAACCUGGGAACGGCAUCCGGAACUGUCAAGCUAGAGUGCAGGAGAGGAAGGUAGAAUUCCCGGUGUAGCGGUGAAAUGCGUAGAGAUCGGGAGGAAUACCAGUGGCGAAGGCGGCCUUCUGGACUGACACUGACACUGAGGUGCGAAAGCGUGGGUAGCAAACAGGAUUAGAUACCCUUGUAGUC
rnacentral:rRNA from 1 species